CAUCCCACAGGUAGUGCAGCUGAGUCACCUCACUGCUUGGCGAUUCCCUAUGUUGAUUUUGAAGGCCAAGCAGAGGGGCUAUGGGUCAGCGGAAUCCGUCACACAGCAGCCAGUGAUGUGCCUUAGGCCUUCCUGAAGCUGUGGCAGCUGUUUCAUUUGUUUCCUGCUCUGUGUAUAUCAGGAAGGAGAUUAAGGACACCAUCUCCAACAGAUGUUCCAGCAGAGAGUAGCUUCGCCUGUCAAGACCGCCCCAAUGGUACCCUUGGAUGGAUGAUGUCUGGCAAGCAGAGGGGCUAUGGGUCUGCGGAAUCCGUC